rnacentral:rRNA from 1 species
CCUACGGGCGGCAGCAGUAGGGAAUCUUCGGCAAUGGACGAAAGUCUGACCGAGCAACGCCGCGUGAGUGAAGAAGGUUUUCGGAUCGUAAAACUCUGUUGGUAGAGAAGAACGUUGGUGAGAGUGGAAAGCUCAUCAAGUGACGGUAACUACCCAGAAAGGGACGGCUAACUACGUGCCAGCAGCCGCGGGAAUAAGUAGGUCCCGAGCGUUGUCCGGAUUUAUUGGGCGGAAAGCGGGCGUAGGUGGUGUAUUAAGUCUGGUGUAAAAGGCAGUGGCUAAACCAUUGUAUGCAUGGGAAACUGGUAGACUUGAGUGCAGGAGAGGAGAGUGGAAUUCCAGGUGUAGCGGUGAAAUGCGUAGAUAUAUGGAGGAACACCGAUGGCGAAGGCGGCUCUCUGGCCUGUAACUGACACUGAGGCUCGAAAGCGUGGGGAGCAAACAGGAUUAGAUACCCGUGUAGUC